UGAAACUAAAUGAUUGAUCUGUGGGGAAAAAAAAAAGCUUGUCAGAUUUCUGGAAGAAGGUAGAAGUGAAUAAAAGUGAAUAACCAAGAUGUCAUUAAAGAGUAUGAGAAAUCGACUAAAAUGCAAUAUCGUUGUGCAAUAUAUUUAUAUAAUACGAAUAGAGUGACAUUCAUUGGACAUUAGGCUCUGACGUACUGAGCACACAUUGGUCCGUUUCGAAGGGUGUGAGAACCAGCUAACCACUAAGCCAGCACGCAACACGUAAGAGGUGUGUCAGGGGCGCAUACAUAAAGGAGGAUUUCGUUGAACAAGAGCAGCUGAUCUCUGGGUCUUGAAAAAGUCCUGAUAGGCGGGACGAAACGCGUAGACGGAGGAGCAGCCCGUCAUUGGUCAUCACUAUUUCCUGCAGCCGCAUUGGAAUUCAGAAUAAGCCGAGACAAGCCGGGAGAAACAGCCCGCCAAUAGCGAACUCUUGAUAUCGAGUGUGAGCAGUGUAUCCGGCUGAUAAGUACUGCAGAAAGUUCAUUGAGCUAACGAGUUGGAGUGUUUGUUUAAGGCGUCACUUUUUAAUACUUCUUGUAAGUGCAAUAUAUUAAUUGCUUGGAAUAAAUUGUUUUUUGAUUCACCUUGA